UUUAAAUGAUGAUGGUACUAUACCAGUUCUGCUACUGAAUAAUAAUGAAGAUAGCAUAAAUACCAAUUAGCUGAAAA